CAGCAGCCGGGUAAAACGUAGGUGGCAAGCGUUGUCCGGAAUUAUUGGGCGUAAAGCGCGCGCAGGUGGUUUAAUAAGUCUGAUGUGAAAGCCCACGGCUCAACCGUGGAGGGUCAUUGGAAACUGUUAAACUUGAGUGCAGGAGAGAAAAGUGGAAUUCCUAGUGUAGCGGUGAAAUGCGUAGAGAUUAGGAGGAACACCAGUGGCGAAGGCGGCUUUUUGGCCUGUAACUGACACUGAGGCGCGAAAGCGUGGGGAGCAAACAGGAUUAGAUACCCCAGUAGUCCCUGUCUCUUAUACA
rnacentral:rRNA from 1 species